GUUACAGCGGGCUCUCCUCGCACAGCACAGCAGCGCGCUGACCGCAGGUCUUUGGUAAUGCCAGUAUAUGCCAGUCAAAGCGCUUUGGGUAGUAAGUCCGAAGUAUGUGGCACACCAGUGAGUUGCUGGCGAUGCCAUUUCCUCCGGGUUCUCGUGCCUGUUCCUCUCCCGCGGAGGGCAGCCUCGGAACAACGCGUUGUCAGCGACGCUGAAACUACGCGGACGUAGAUGGUGGUACGACGGCCAUCAAGCACCAAGUCCUCCUGCUCGCCACUGAGUCAGUCGCUGUUCCUAAGUACUAACGUGAGAACAUGUUUUAGCAGGAGGAGUUGAAAUUCAUCCGGCCUAUGAAUGGGAAGUAGAGUUACUUUGGUUUAUCCUCUUUGUUAGAUAUACGGACCUGAAUCGCCAGAGGCAUUUUCAGUUGGAAAGGACCCUGGGUGGAUUUCCAGCCAGCUCUGUAAUUGUAACCAGUCACUUUUCACCUGGCUCUCCUUGAGGUUUUUACUCACGUUAAGAGUCUUGACCUUUAAAUCAACCAAAUAAAACAUGAAGUCAAACUCUUUAGUAUGAAUUACUACUUCAUUUCACGCGCACACGGGGGAGUACAUCAUACUCUAUUGUAUUUGGAAGCUACCAGUCAACUCUGGGCAGCAGUUGCAGCAUUACAAAGUGUAUAUGUCCUUACAAAGGGAAUGUAACCACUGCUGCACACUUUCCUUUCCUCACUGCCAAUUUCUCCCUCAGCAUUCCACUCUGCUUCCAACGCCAGUCCUGAUGACGUAGGACAUUCUUAAUUGUACGUACUAUAAAUGCUGUUGCAAUGUUUUUGUUAGCCCUUACAAAUUACUGGCAGGCUGGUUCCUUAAAUUCCAUAUUUAAUUUGGACAGCGCUCAGUAUACUGAGCAUCAGUUGGCCAGAACAGAAGUUACGUUUCACUGCCUUUGGCUGUGCGUUGGGAAAGGUGUUUCAAGUAUUAUUCACCACCUUUCUGACCCAGCAGUGUGCCUAUAGAUAAUGCAGGCAGUCUGAGAACCUACAGGUGUAUCACUGGCGUUUUUUGUAUUUAGCAUUUCUAAGAUGAUACUGAUUUUUGUGGGAGAAGGGGGGGAGGAUGUCUUAUUUCUUCUGUUUUAAUACUGUCACCAACAAAUAGCUAUAGCUGAUCCAACAGACUUAUUUUUUAAAAAUCAGAAACAGGACAAGGCUCUUCAGUCAACUACAACAGUUUUUCUGUGGCUUUAGUUCUAUGUCUCUAUAUAUUAACUCCACAAUUACCUGACAUUAUAUUUUUAGAGAAUUUUCUUCCUCGCAAAUACUUUUCUUUCUCUCCCUGUAAGAAACUCCCUCCCACUGCUCACAGUGCCGUGGUGCCAAGCACACCUGGGUGCUUAACGACUUCCACCAGUGCAAAAUUGUUCUCUCUCCGUCAGUGAGCAGAAGUUCACUGCAGGCUACCAUACGCUGGAUGAUAGCAAGACAACAGGCCGGUUUUUAUGUGCAUUUCAAAACAGCAUAACCAGAAUUGUAUGAGUUGGCCAUUUUUCUUUUUUUACAGACAUCAGUUACUACUUUAGUCAUUAAGUACAUUUUACUAUAUGGUCCAGAAAUGGCAACCAGAACAUUAUAAGAGUGGAAAAUAAUCUACUGUGAUCCAAGGAAGAUGUAAGUGCUCACUGCCACCACAUGUAAUUCAUAUACUGAGGGAGCAGAGAGUAAUUUCAUGGAUUGUUUUUGAGUUCAAAAGCAGAAAAUUAGAUAUUUAAGGCUUCUCUUCACACCGGAGUUCCAGCAGGUUUUGCAGUGCUCUGCCUGGCAGUAUCACGUUAGACUUUUUUGGGGUAUCCCAUAAUUCUUUAUGCAAGAAUGUAAACCAGGUUGCUCAGCAAAUACUUUUCCAGUGAGCUAAGCAAGAACUUGCUCAUAGGGCAUACAGGUGAGAAACACUGUCAGGAUUCACAGGGUUUAACCUGCAUCAUUACUAUGAACUUUGCAGGUCAUGCAUUUGAAUAGAAGUGGAUCCAUGAAUCAUGCGUUACUCCUAGUCCCACCAGCUGAACCAUUGGGCUCAGUAACAAGGGUGAAUACGUACAUAAAGAUGAAGAAAAAUAUGGGAAAAAUUUAAUUAAAAAGCAACCAUUCCUAAAUUAACAUCUUUGCACAAAGUCCUUUAUUUUCUGCUAUAAUAAUGAUAAGCCUUAAAGAAGGAAGUCAGCAUCAAAACAAUGAUCUGUUCCUAUUUUAUCAGCUUGUCACCAAGUUUCAUUCUAAAGUAAUUUAAAGAAAAUGCUGCAGAAGAGGCAAACUCUGGUGCUGAGGUCUAAUAGGAGUUAUCCAGAAAGGAUGUUAAUGUGAGGAUCACGUCGAGUCAGCCUGUAACAGAUAUGUUUCCUUGGCUUCAAGACUAGAAAAUUUGUUAGAGAAAGAAAAUUAGUCAGUAAUGGAACAACGUACUCUUUAUCAUCUUUAAGAUGAUAUAUUCAAGUUAUUUACAUAACUGACAAAUUAUUCAUUACUUUAAUAUCUCUUACAUUACAUUUGGAAAGCAAGAAGGGAAGCACAGGGAAACUGAACGCACUCUUUUGCCUUUCCUAAUGAAGUGAAUGAGAUGCUGCAAAAAGAAGUGAAAUUACAUGAGGUAUCCUUAUAAAAUAGGUAUUCUUACCCCCUCACAUCCCCUCCCUGGCUCUGCUUUUACCCCAUCUAGCUGCCAGCCUUGGCAUUUAGGAGGCUUUUGCCGAUUGGAAUAAUUCAUUAAUCCAGACAAAAACAAACUUCUCUUCCCUCAGGUUAGCAAGUGAAACUGCUUCACAGACAGAUCUAAUGAGUGUUACCACCAGGUCAAAUUAAGUGUUGAAAGCAAGUGGUAAAGAGAGGUAGAGAAGCUCCAACUAUGUGAGACCAAAAUAAUGUAUGGCAAUGUAAGAUAUUACAAGCUUCAACUUCUUCGAGAAAAAGUUUCUGGCAUUUCAAUUUUCAAAGUGCAGAAAAUCUUGGGUUACUUUUGUGAAGGCACGGGAAAAGCCAAGAUUUAAAGUUUACUUUGUCCUGGAACAAAGAAAAGUUUGAAGGAACUGUGUAUGCUAUGGUAUUAGUAGCGGAGCAGAAAUACAAAAGGAGAAGAAUGACCAUGAAAGUACUGAGCAAACAAUACAAACAGGAUAGUAAAUAUCAAAGCUGAAACGUAGAAUGAUGAGAUUAAGGUAGAGCAAAGACAUGCAACAGAUUCAAGUAAAAAUGCAGAAUUAAAGCUGUGUGUAACACACUGGGGAAAGUGCAUUUAGAGAAAGCGAUACGAAGUCUAACAAACUGCAUUACAGUGCUGUUACUGCUAGCCUUAGAAGCCAUGUCUGCACACACAUCAGCUGCUAAUCAGUAAUAACUAUCACAUCUCAAAUUGUAGACUCAGUAUUAAGUAUCUGAUUUGAUACUUGUCAGGUCCUAACCUCUGCCAUUGCUAAUCAAUUGCUCAUGCAGUCUCAUUCCUCCCCCAUUUUACACAAACUCACAUUUGCUUUGCAGAUUAAGCUUUUCCUUUACAUUGCCUACGUCUUAUUAAUGAAGUUAUUUUAGAGCUACGCCAGAUAAAAGAACUACAUUUGUACAUAGGAUGGUGCCAGGUAGCAUUUCUAUCACAACCGUAAGAACAGAGGAACAUAGAUAAAAAUAACCAAGUAACAGACUUACAGGAGAACAGUGAUAAGCAUAAUAGCAAUGAUAUGUUUUAACUAAUGAGAGAUUGUAUCUUGCUGCAGAACAAACUUGGGAAAGAUUAGAUUCUAGAAAGCUGUUCUGCAGUUAAAUGAGGGAAUGUGAGUUCAGAGUUUGUCUGUCCAUUACAUACAGAAUAACAGUGAAGGCAAAAGAAUCAAUACGUAGCAUAGCACUCCUAGUGCAGCAGAACACAACUAAAAGGAAGUGCGUUUGCUGCAGUUCAUCUAACAUAUACCAUACGUGCCUCCUCAGCAGUAAGUCAAAUGACAGAAAAUGCCACUCGGGCUUGAAGUGUGAACUUAGAGCCAUGCACAUGAACUUUUAGAAGAAAGGUUUGAGUGGAAAAGGGGAUCACCAGGUGAAGGUGAUAAACAGUUAUUGCUUUCUGCCCCGUGAGGUGCACUGCAAAUUGCACAACUGUGAACUGAGUAUCUUAAAGUUUACAUACUAAACUGAAAAGUUAAUAUGAGAAAA